GCAGUAUAAAUAUUGAAGUAAAUUAUAAUUUUUCGUAGUACAAUUCUUUGCAAGCUAAGGUUCAACAAGCUUACAGAUACACAAUAUCAAAAUGUUCGGCAAACUGGUUAUUUUGUUCGCCAUUCUGGCAUUCGCCUUCGCGAGACCUCAAGUAUACCCUGGCUAUAGCUACGGUACCUACUCCGGAGCCAGCUACCCCGGCUAUUAUGGAUAUUCCGGAUACUCCAACCCCUACUCGUACGGCAGUUACGGAUCGUACGCUGCUUCACCUUACAGCAGUCUCGGUUAUGGAUACUAUUAAAGUGGAUACACCAGUGGAUACAAA